AGAGACAGCAGUCGCCGCGGUAAAACGUAGGUCCCGAGCGUUGUCCGGAUUUAUUGGGCGUAAAGCGAGCGCAGGCGGUUAGAUAAGUCUGAAGUUAAAGGCUGUGGCUUAACCAUAGUACGCUUUGGAAACUGUUUAACUUGAGUGCAAGAGGGGAGAGUGGAAUUCCAUGUGUAGCGGUGAAAUGCGUAGAUAUAUGGAGGAACACCGGUGGCGAAAGCGGCUCUCUGGCUUGUAACUGACGCUGAGGCUCGAAAGCGUGGGGCGCAAACAGGAUUAGAUACCCCUGUAGUCCCUGUCUCUUAUACA
rnacentral:rRNA from 1 species